rnacentral:lncRNA from 1 species
AGGAGGGAAAGAAGGAAGAUUUGGGACGAGUUACAUUGGGAACAGAGACUAGGGAGAGACCGAUAUGUAAAAGAAUGCCUGGACAUCGGGCACCUCAGACCGUUUGCCCAUUUUACGACAAGAAUUAUCUAGAUCUUGUAGGAUGGAAAAAUUGAAACUGCUGUUUUCUGGCUAUUUAGAGCCAUUUUCAAGUUUGUAUUAGGGCUAAGUAGUGUUGCAGAAGAAAAUAAGAUGCUUAGGUUUUAGGUCAGGUGAGAGUUGAAGAGGUUUUAAGUUCUUAAGAACACAGGCUAAGGGAGAAGAAGGAGGAAUGGAGGGUGGAAGCUUGCCUAUAGUGAAGGAGACAAGUUGAAAGAAAAGGGUAGAGACACGGAGAAGGGGGUGGGGAGCAGCCCUGGGCUGCAACAUGGGUGAGCAGCCAAAGCAGGCGUCCCCGCAAUUGACUUGACAUCAAGGGAACGUGGGUGAAUGAUCAAGGCAAGCAUCCCCGCAGAGAUCAGACACCAAUGGAAGGUGCUCAAACUAAGGAUGGAUGAGAUCACUCUGAGGUAUUGUUAGCAGUUAUUCAUGCUUCAGAUAAGGAAUAAAAUCAGACCUUUGAAUGAAUUUCCCAUAUUAAAAUUCCGUGAGAGUUUUUUUUCGUUAUUUUGGAGCUUUCCCCAGUGAUAUCGAGAGUGAUAUUUCACUGCUCUAAGGAAAAAUACCAUUGAAGCAUAAUGACAAACAGCAAGUGACCCUGAGCCUAGUUUUUCAGGAAGGGGAACAGUCACAUUCCAGCUCUUGGUCCCUCCCAUGACACAUGGUGGUUAAGGGAACUACAACUCAAGAUGAGAUUUCGGUGGAAACACAACCAAGCUGUAUCAGGUGAGGCUGGAAGUCUGUAGCGUGCUAACGUGGGGUGAAAUUCAGAAUUACCUGCUAGAGAAUUCCUUACACUGGAGACAGCUCUUUGUUAUAAGGAAGAGUCUGGGAGGGCUUCAAGAAGGCUUCUUCUCCUGCUGCCACAGUCCUUCUCAGAUCACUUCAGGAGAGGUUGGUGGGGUUCCAGGAAAUAAAACUUUAUGAAAAGUGGAGGAGCUCCUAUGACUGUGGAUCCCAGGACUUUGAUUCUCAUAUUAGUUUCUACUCCACUCCUAGAAAUUCAUCAAAAUGCCUAGUAAAGUACAUGGUUUUAGCAGUUUAUAGUGUUCGACGACUUCUCCAGAUAAGCAAAUCUAAAGCACUGUAUCUUUCUGGAUGUACCAAUCUCUCCAGAUUUUAAGGUGAUGGCUUGUCCCAUGACCUUAGUUUUCUGAUGGGUUCAAUAAAAGUCACUGCUUUUUGGUUUGUAAGG